CAAACUUAAUUAAAUUCUUGUAAAAAAACACAUAAGGUAGUCUUAAUUCUUAAGAAAAUAAUGAAAAUGUUUAUCGCCUAUAAGAUAGAUCACAAAAUAAAAUUUCCUUAAUCAAAUGAAAACCGCAGAGCCUACCUGAAUCACCACCCGUCUUCCUAGAAAUGUUGCCCGGAGAUCUUCCGGAAGAACUUAUCACAGAAGUCUUAUCAAUCCUUCCGGUGAAAUCUAUUUUGCGAUUCAAAUGUGUUUGUAAGUCAUGGGAAUUUCUCAUCUCUGAUCCUUUUUUUUUUUGUUAAAAAGCAACUUCAUCAAUCCCAAAAACGAAACAACCAUCUCGCGCUCAUCGUCUGCAGGCCUUGCACACACAGUACCCAAUAUUGUUAUGAUAGAGAUUGUUCUGUCGUACCCUUUCCUCUCAACACUUUACUACUUAAUCCAUCUGUAACCAUUCCCAUUCUUCCUCAUCACCGACUGAGAAAUAAACGUCGUUUCCGAGUCAUCGGUUCUGUCAAUGGAUUGCUCUGUUUGUUUAAUUCUUAUCGAACUCGUAGCGGUCCAUAUGGUCCUUAUCCUCGAAACACCUGGUUUCGUUUGUGGAAUCCGGUCACCAAGAAAAUAUCUCAAAAAUUAGGCUCAAUUACCCAUCCUGAAGAAGAUCGAUCUAACUAUCUCAGGUUUGCAUUUGGUUAUGAUAAAUCAACCAACACUUACAAAGUAGUGGCAUUUUGUCCUAAUGAGGUGAAAAUGUUUAGUUUUGGUGAUAAUGUUUGGAAAAUUAUUCAACAUUUUCCUAUAAUUCCUUUAUAUCAUGUGGUUAUGGUUCGCCAUCGAGAGCAGCGUAUCAAUGAAGGUACUAUGGGUCCAUUUUGAAUCCUAGGACAACAACCCCAACUUCAAGCACAUUUGACGUUAUUGGUGGUUGCUUGCAGUAUGAUAAGAAGAAAGGAGAAGAGGAGAGAAAUCUGCCGGAAUUUGUGGUCCUUUUGAUGUUUUUUUUUGUUUUGUUUCUUUGAGACCUUUGUAGAAAUUUAGUGAAUUUGUCACUAACUAUUUGUUUUGUUGGUUUCUCUACUAAACUGUUAUUCGUGUAAGGAUGCAAAACUCUAUAUUAUCGUGUAAGGAUGCAAAACUCUAUAAUAGAUAUUCUUGCAGUUGCAUAAGUUUUAAUAUAUGUUUAUUGCUCA